AGUCGUAAAAUCUCAGCAAAAGCCAACAACUUACAGUUAUUCAUCACAACGUGACGCCACCCAUUUUUCUCUUCUAUCUUCAAACACAACCUUUCUUCUUCUUCUCUGUGAAGAUGGCAGAAAAUUCAUCUCAGGAAAACUUCAUCUGUUUACAUGGAGAUUUGGAGCUUCACAUCAUUCAAGCCCGUCAUUUACCCAACAUGGACUUAACUUCUGAGCGUAUACGCCGCUGCUUCACAGCCUGUGAUGUCUGCCGGAAACCUCAAACUGGAUCCACUGCCGACGACGG
rnacentral:misc_RNA from 1 species